rnacentral:lncRNA from 1 species
AUGGGGCAUCUCCCCCCUUUUCUUUUUCUUUCGGCGGUGACUCAGUUCCGAUUAGGAAACAAGUGUUUGGCGAUGGCUUGUAAAAACUUUGCUGGCAGAGAAGCUAUUGGCACAACUCUGGAAGCAUUUUUUUCUGGCUCGAAUGCAAUCUUGAAAGCCAUCCAUAGGAGGAUGGCAAUGAAGAGUUCAUUGCUGGUGCAAAAACAUCAAGCAGAAGGAUGUGAAAAGGACCUCGGCCAUAAUGCCGAAAAGGACCUCGGCCACAGCCAAAGAGUUUGGCUGUGCUGCUCCUUAGGGGUCUCGGAAACUACGUCUCCCAGCUGCAAGGACACAGAGGAGAUAUCUUUCCAACAGGGAACUCCUGGCGCAUCUAACCAUGUGGCUCUAAAUGCAGUGCAUUGCUCUUGGGCCAGCGAUGCCCAAGAGCGGAGAAAACCUGCGUCCUUCAAAGGGCUUCUGCAAUCUCCUCUUAGCCGUCUCGCUCCUGGGCAUCUCGGCUACCAGCUGGACACAACGGUGUCCGACAGAGUCCUUCAACCUUCUGAGAGUCAUCAUGCAUCGCCUGGUAAGUGCGCAUUGUAAGGGAGAUGUUGCUGGAAUGGAGGGGAGUUUGCGCUUGGUGUGUCAAAACUCACCAAAAAACCUAGCAUGACUUGGGUGGUGUGUCACUUCGAGAAAAAAAACCAUAAUUUCACAAUAUGUAUAGUUUAAAUAACAAAAAUAUAUAAUUGUAAUAUAGAACUGUAUUUAAUAAAUCAAAAACUAUUUACUACCAUUAUUUCCAUGUACAACGAUCUAUGGUACCUCUUGCAGUUUCCACGCUGAUUUCUCUCUAUUGUAGUUUCAAUGUAGUCAUGAAUAAUGAAUAAUACAGUAGAGCAGGGGUCCCCAAACUUUUUAAACAGGGGGCCAGUUCACAAUCCUUUGGAACGUUGGAGGGCCGGACUAUAGUUGGCCACUGAGCAAUAAUAACAACAACAACAACAACAACAACAACAAAAAGAGAGAAGAAGAGACCCCUUGGGUCCAUUGAGUCCAUUCCCCUUCUGCCCUUGUGCUGUGGGGGCCGGAUAGAUGGUUUCGAUGGGCCGCAUCCCGCCCCCGGGCCUUAGUUUGGGGACCCCUGCAGUAGAGUCUCACUUAUCCAAGCUAAACGGGCCAGCAGAAUCUUGGAUAAGCGAAUAUCUUGGAUAAUAAGGAGGGAUUAAGGAAAAGCCUAUUAAACAUCAAAUUAGGUUAUGAUUUUACAAAUUAAGCACCAAAACAUCAUGUUAUACAACAAAUUUGACAGAAAAAAUAGUUCAAUACACAGUAAUGUUAUGUUUUAAUUACUGUAUUUAUGAAUUUAGCACCAAAAUAUCACGAUAUAUUGAAAACAUUGACUACAAAAAUGGCUUGGAUAAUCCAGAGGCUGGGAUAAGCGAGGCUUGGAUAAGUGAGACUCUACUGUAUAUCUAUAUAUAUAAAAGGGUAAUGAAAUUUCGGCCUAGGACAAAACAACAAAACUACACAUCCCAGAAACACUAAACUUGGCAGCACAACCCCUCAUCCAUGUCUCUACGUUGAUACAACAAAAAGAAAAGAAAAAUAAAGUCCUAAUUAGAGGGAGAGGAAUAAUUGUUUUUAUCCAAUUGCUGCCAGUUAGAAGGCUAAGCUCCACCCACUUGGUCUCCUAGCAACCCACUCAGCCCAGGGGACAGGCAGAGUUAGGCCUCACAAAUGAGAGUAGAUGAAUAGGUACUGCUCCAGCAGGAAGGUAACGGUGCUCCAUGCAGUCAUGCCAAUGGCCAUAUGACCUUGGAGGUGUCUAUGGACAACGCCGGCUCUUCAGCUUAGAAAUGGAGAUGAGCACCAAUCUCCAGAAUCAGACACGACUGGACUUAAUGUCAGGGGAAAACCUUUACCCUUUACCUUAACUACCACCAGUUCCUCAAUACUUUAUUUCCAAUACCACCAUACUUCACCACAGCAACGCGUGGUCGGGCACAACUAGUAUAUACAUAUAAAAGGGUAAUGAAAUUUCAGCCUAGGACAAAACAACAAAACUACACAUCCCAGAAACACUAAACUUGGCAGCACAACCCCUCAUCCAUGCCUCUACGUUGAUACAACAAAAAGAAAAGAAAAAUAAAGUCCUAAUUAGAGGGAGAGGAAUAAUUGUUUUUAUCCAAUUGCUGCCAGUUAGAAGGCUAAGCUCUGCCCACUUGGUCUCCUAGCAACCCACUCAGCCCAGGGGACAGGCAGAGUUAGGCUUCACUUAGGCCUUUUCCACACUGCCUAUAAAAUACAGAUUAUCUUAUUUGAACUGGAUUAUAUGGCAGUGUAGACUCAAGGCCCUUCCACACAGCUAUAUAGCCCAUUUAGAAUCUUAUAUUAUUUGCUUUGCACUGGAUUAUCUUGACUCCACACUGCCAUAUAAUCCGCUUCAGUGUGCAUUUUAUACAGCUGUGUAGAAGGGGCCUCAUAUAAUCCAGUACUAAGCAGAUAAUAUAAGAUACUUUAUUCCUAUACCACCAUACUUCGCCACAGCAACGCGUGGCCGGGAACAGCUAGUAAUAAUAAUAAUAUAAUAGUAAUAAUAUGAUAAUAUACAAUAAUAAUAGAAUGAGGUGUGUCAGUGCUGACAUGCGUGUCAUAGGUUGGCCAUCACUGCAAUAGUGUGAUACUGAAGCUAAAAAGGCCAAUGUGAUACUAGGUGGCAUCAACAGGAGUAUAGAUCAAGGGAAGUAAUAGUCCUGGUCUAGGCAUUUGGCCCAUCAUAGGAAUAUUUAAAGUUAAAGAGAAAGUUGAUAGUGCAAUGACCCAGGACUGUUUAUGGACAACAGCUAUGUCUUUGUGUGAUAUAUGACAUUAUUUUAUGUGCUGUGUUUAAUAGUGUUUAAUGUUUUAUUAGGGGAGGGUCAACUUUGAUGUUUUAUGCUGUUUUUUAUCGAGGGCAUUGAAUUGUUGCCAACACUGUGAACCGCCCUGAGUCCCCUUCGGGGUUGAGAAGGGCGGUAUAUAAAUACUGCAAAUAAAUAAAGAAAAAAAAUUAAAAUAUUCUAUUUUGCUCAGACUACACCUGGAAUAAUACUGUGAGUCUACACCAAAAAGGCCAAUGUGAUUCUGGGCGGCAUCAAUAGUAUAGAGUCCAGAUCAAGGGAAGUAAUGGUCCUGGUUUAUUCUGCUUUGCACAGACCACAAAGCACUCCUAACAGAUGGCCAUUCAGCCUUUGUAAUAAUAAUAAUAAUAAUAAUAAUAAUAAUAAUAAUAAUAAUAAUAAUAAUGAUAAUGAUAUGAGCAAGCCCAGAGGCCAUCCAGUCCAACCCCUUUCUGCCAUGCAGAAAAAGCACAAUUCAAGCACCCCUGACAGAUGGCCAUUCAGCCUUUGUAAUAAUAAUAAUAAGAAGAAGAAGAUGAAGAAGAAGAAGAAGAGCAAGCCCAGAGGCCAUCCAGUCCAACCCCCUUCUGCCAUGCAGAAAAAGCACAAUCCAAGCACCCCUGACAGAUGGCCAUUCAGCCUUUGUAAUAAUAAUAAUAAUAAUAAUAAUAAUAAUAAUAAUAAUAAUAAUAAUAAUAGGAACAAGACCUUUCUGCCAUGCAGGAAAAGCAGAAUCAAAGCAUUAUUUCAUUUGGGAGAAACGUAAAAUACUACUACACUUGGGAGAGCUUCUAUGGUGUCUUUCUGCAUUGCAGAAGGGGGUCAGACUAGAUGACCUUAGGGGUACCUCUGUAAUAAUAAUAAUAAUAAUAAUAAUAAUAAUAAUAAUAAUAAUAAUAAUAAUUAUAAUAAUAGGAGCAAGGCCUUUCUGCCAUGCAGGAAAAGCAGAAUCAAAGCAUUAUUUCAUUUGGGAGAAACGUAAAAUACUACUACACUUGGGAGAGCUUCCAUGGUGUCUUUCUGCAUUGCAGAAGGGGGUCAGACUAGAUGACCUUAGGGGUACCUCUGUAUAAUAUAAUAAUAAUAAUAAUAUAAUAACUCAG